UAUAGCUCAGCUGGUUAGAGCGCACGUCUGAUAAGCGUGAGGUCGAUGGUUCGAGUCCUAUCUGUGGAGCCCCA
rnacentral:tRNA from 1 species